CUUUGGUCACUCCUGGCCAUCUUGACCACCUCAAAGUGACCACUGGUCACUCCUGACCCCCCAAAGUGACCCUUGACCACCCCUGUCCAUCCCAAGUGACCACUGGUCACUCCUGACCACCCCCAGGCCACCCCAAAAUGACCAAUGGUCACUCUUGGCCACCUUGACCACCCCAAAGUGACCACUGGUCACCCCCAGGCCACCCUUGACCACCCCAAGGCCACCUCAAAGUGACCACUGGUCACUCCUGUCCAUCCCAAACUGACCCUUGACCACCCCUGUCCAUCCCAAGGUGACCACUGGUCACUCCUGGCCACCUCAAAGUGACCACUGUCCAUCCCAAAGUGGCCACUGACUAUCCCAUGCCACCCUUGACCACCCCAAAGUGACCACUGGUCACUCAUGACCAUCUCAAAGUGACCACUGGUCACUCCUGACCACCCCAAAGUGACCACUGGUCACUCCUGGUCACCUCAAAUGACCACUGGUCACUCCUGGUCACCCCAAGUGACCACUGGUCAUCCCAAAGUGGCCACUGACCGUCCCAUGCCACCCUUGACCACCCCCAAAGUGACCACUGGUCACUCCUGGUGACCCCAAAGUGACCCUUGACCACCCCUGUCCACCUCAAAAUGACCACUGGUCACUCUUGGCCACCUUGACCACCCCAAAGUGACCAGUGGUCACCCCCAGGCCACCCUUGACCACCCCAAGGCCACCCCAAAGUGACCACUGGUCACUCCUGGUCACUCUAAAGUGACCACUGGCCACUCCUGUCCAUCCCAAACUGACCCUUGACCACCCCUGUCCAUCCCAAGGUGACCACUGGUCACUCCUGGUCACCUUAAAGUGACCACUGUCCAUCCCAAAGUGGCCACUGACCAUCCCAGGCCACCCUUGACCACCCCAAAGUGACCACUGGUCACUCUUGGCCACCCGUGACCACCCCAAAGUGACCACUGGUCACUCCUGGUCACUCCUGGUCACUCCUGGUCACUCAGAAGUGACCACUGGUCACUCGUGACCAUCUCAAGUGACCACUGGUCAUUCCUGGUCACCUCAAAUUGACCUUUGACCACCCCUGUCCAUCCCAAGGUGACCACUGGUCACUCCUGACCCCCCAAAGUCACCACUGGUCACCCCCAGGCCACCCUUGACCACCCCAGACCACCCCAAAGUGACCACUGGUCACUCCUGGUGACCCCAAAGUGACCACUGGUCACUCCUGGUCACUCCUGGUCACCCCCGUGUCCACCCUGACCCCGCCCCCCUGGAUCCCUGACCUUUGACCCUUGUCUGGCCCCGCCCCCUGUUCCCUUUCCCGGCCAAUAAAAUCGCUCCGAGCCGU